rnacentral:tRNA from 2 species
GCGGGGGUUGCCGAGUGGCCAAAGGCGCUGGCUUGAGGGGCCAGUUCCGUAGGGAUUCGAGGGUUCAAAUCCCUCCCCCCGCA